rnacentral:rRNA from 1 species
UACGUAGGGCGCAAGCGUUAUCCGGAAUUAUUGGGCGUAAAGAGCUCGUAGGCGGUUUGUCGCGUCUGCUAGUGAAAACUCAAGGCUCAACCUUGAGCUUGGCAUCGGGGUACGGGCAGACUAGAGGUGUGGUAGGGGUGACUGGAAUUCCUGGUGAUAGCGGUGGAAUGCGCAGAUAUCAGGAGGAACACCGAGUGGCGAAGGCACUCUACUGGGCCACUAACUGACACUGGAGAAGACGAAAGCUAGGGGAGCAAAUGGG